rnacentral:tRNA from 1 species
GGGCUCAUCGUCUAAUGGAAAAGACAUCAACCUUCUAAGUUGUUAAUGUAGGUUCGAUUCCUUCUGAGCUCA